UAUAUAUAUUAUAUUAGUAUUAGUAUUGCUGUUAUUAAUAUCAAAGAGGUAGGGAAUUCCAGAAUGCCAUCACUCUGGGCUGGUGGGAAGGAGCUCCCGUCAAGCUGUAAGAAGUCCUAGGAGUGAACACUAAGGGAAUGCUCUUUGGUUUUGGGUUCACACUGGUGACCGUGGACAUCUUCACCGUGCAAGAUGACAUGGGCCCUGAAGGACUCUCAUCCCAAGCUCUUUACGUAUAGGCUUUUGAUGAAUGUUGUUUAUAUUUUCACUUAUUAGUUAUAAUUAAAACAAAAAUAACAUGCAACAAAUGUAAAAAUAACAUCUAGAAUUCCAUGAAAAUGGUGUUUCAUGAAUGUGGUUUGAGGGUCCGUCAUUGUCCUACCUACUACUGCAUGUUACUUUCUUGUAUCUUAUGUCUCUAAGUGAGGCUGGUUCCAGUCACCUCUGGAAGCGUUUUGGUUAAAUCCAGUGGGUGAACGUAAUGGAGCCACGUCCCCAGUUCUCCCACCUCAUGCCCACUUCGUGUGGCAUUUUCUCUGGUCUAUCAUUUCAGGGUUAAGCACUUCCCAGCUUAAAUAUCUAUGACCUCCAUAUGAUUCUAGCAAGUAGAAGAAGAAUUUAGGGGAAACACAACCCUGCACCUGAGAAAACGCACCCUGUCUCCUGCUGUUGCCUUUUUUGGGGGCCUCUCCUCCAUUCUACAUUCUUUGUCUUCCUAGGCAUCCCAACCCGCUCAGAGACUUUGUUGGGUUUGGCUCUGAUGUUUGUUCUGACAUUUCUUGGAAUUGCUGGCCGAGAGCCCCUUUGGUUGGCUAGAGACAUUAAGGUGUAAUGAAAUAUUUAAAUAUCCUGAGGCAGGAUAGGAUUAAAAUAAUCUCUAAGAGCAGGGGUUUGUGUAUUUUUUCUAUUAAGGGACACAGAGGAAUAUUUUCAUCUUGGCAGACCGUAUAGUUUGUCUCUACUCAGCCUGCAGCUGUAGGGAGAAAGCAGCCACAGACAAGACAUACACAGCACAUGUGGCCAGUCUUGCCUCACUGGCUCUAACUUGCCAGCCCCAUGUAAGUUAAAUAAAUGCAUCCAAAUGCAUUGUGAUCUUUUCAAAUGUGCUCCGUCCAAACAUCCAAAUGGCUGAUAGCCUGCUUCAUUUCUGAUUCAAGUCUCAGUUAUUUAUUUGCAAAGAACAACAAAUAGCCAUGUCUUCAGUUUAUUAAUAUUCCUAACUAAUCAUCUGAAGGCUGGAUAAAUGAGACUUACUAGAAAACGAAUGAAAUGAAAGUCACUGUUAAGCCUAACUAGAUGUGUAGUUUGGGCUAAGUUGCAAUACUACUCAAGACCCCAAUUUUCUGUUUCUUUUUUACCUGUAGGAUUAGGCGGUUUGGUCUCUUAUUUCUUUAAAAAAAGUAUUGUUUGGGCGUUUCUCCUUGUUUGGGGGUUUCUUGGCAGCAUGAGAGCAGAGUAGGCACUGUGGCAGCCAGUCACUGCAGGACAGCCAUUGAGAAAGUUUUCUUACCCUCUUUAAGUUUAGUUGCAAGGAGUGCAGCCAGAACUGUAACCAAAAAAAAGCAUUUGCUUCCAGAAAAAUCUCAAAGAAAGUAUUGUAGGCAACAGUAGUAGCUGUUGAUCGGGCUCUAAAGGAAAAUGUGGAGAGAUUCAACCAAUUAGCCUGAAAGUUGGGAGAUAAAGUUCUUCUCCCAGGAUAUGGAGGCCUCAAAAUAGUAUUUAGAGAUGGUGACAUUCUCGGAAAAUAUGUAGACUGAAAUAAAUCACUAUUGAAAUGGCAUCACAUGAAGCUAUCCAUUCCACUGAUGUUCUGAAACCUUUCCUGUAAAUAAUUUCCAUGUCUCUUUUUCAUAAACUAAUGAUAUCUAAGAAUGUAAUAAUAAUUCAUUGUUUACUUUUUUUACAAAAAUAAUUCAUGUUGAUCAUAGCAUGUUUGGAAAACUGAGUUAAGCAGAAAGACAAAAACAAGCAUCUCCACAAUUCCACCACAAGACAUAACACUUAAUAUUUUGGAACACAUCCUUUGAGUUUACCAAUUUAGCUAUUCUAUUUAGUUUCCUACCUAUCCUUUAAGUAAUAAAAAUGGGAUUAUAAUAAAGAGCUUUGUGAUCUCAAGUUUUCACUUAAUGUAACAUGAGCGUUUUUCCAUGUUAUUAAAUCUUUUUCUAUAUUUAUUAGCUCAGUUCUAUUAUGUGGAUAUACCACGAUUCAUUUAACCAGCACGCCCUUUUGCUAGAUUUCUUAAGCUUUUUUAUUUCCAUAAACUACUGUAAUGAAAGUUUCUUACAGAAAGCUUUGCGCACAUGCGAGAAGUAUUUCCUUUUUUUUCAGCUCGAAAACUUUUUCCUACGUUCAGCAGUCAUUCCAUGUUCGACCAGUAGGGGGCAUUUUAGGCUUUCUCAGAAUAACUAAGAAGGGAGCGCUUUGCUUCACACAAAGACCUAGAGUCUCUGCGGAAGAUGGCAGUGGGUAGUGACGAGCAGGAAAGGGAACUCAAUGCUGAAAAUACGGACCUCUGGAGGAAAGACCAGACAGCUCCAUGAUCUACAGUUCCUCUAGAAAUACAGAUUUGGCUGUAACACUAAAUGGAAUCUUGCCUAGACCAUUACUUAUAUAUCACCGACUAGCCAGGUUUUGGUAGAUGAUACUACAUAAAUUUUGUUAGAAGCUGAAAUAAUUGUUUUAUGGGCAUUUUCCUUGAUUUUUACCAAGACCAUAAAUUCCUAAAGGCAGUCCUCUGCCUGUACUUUCUGGCACACCACCCAACUAUACCCAGCAAAUUACUAAGUAAGUACAAGGGAGGUACUUAAACAGUUGCAAUCAAUGCUAAUGGUAAGCUUCUAUUCUAGUAUAAAGAUUAUCGAGAUGCAGGGUAGUGGUUAAGGUGUUGGCUCCGCAGCCAGGGUGCCUAUGUUUGAAUCCUGACUGUCACUAGCUGUACUCCUUGCUUUACCCCCAAGCCAAUGUUUGUAAAAUGGAGGUCAUCAUAGUACAUACUUCAGAUGGUAAUUGUGAGAAUUAAAUUAUUUUAAACAUAUAAAAUGGUUAGCGCAGGGCCUGGACCAUAGCAAGUUCUUGAUUAAAUAUUACUAGAUGGAUUACUUGAUUAAGGGAUUACUGAGGGUUCUUUUUUUUUCCUCUCAUUUUUAAAUUCAAUGAUUUUCAUGGCUGAUGCUCUCUCCAAGCUCUUCCUGUGGCCUCCAAGGACACCAGCCUCUCUCUGGCCUUGUGGGUUCACUUGCUGUGGCCAAUGGCUAGGCUGGCUCCGGGAAGUUCUCGGAUAGUCAGAGGGCAUAUGUCUACCUGGUCCCUUCUUGUUACCUCCUUUUAAAUUUUACUCCAACCAUCUUUCAUCUGGUUAACAGGAGCGCCAUUUGAUUUCACCAAAUCACAACAUCUCAUAGACGAUCAUCUUCAUACAUGUGAUUGAGGAGGUCAACAGGAAACAAACACUUUUCUUCAUAGGGUGUAAAAGAAAUGUGCUUGGGCCAGAAAGAAAGCAAGCUUUGUGAAAGAAGGAAUGUCAGCACGGAUGGAAAUAGCAAAGCAUCUGUUUCUUCAGGCCAGUUACGCUGUAGUUUCCUUUUUCCCCCCAGUCAGCCAUUUUGUGCCGUGGUUCUCUGCCCUUUUCCCAUGCAUGCCCACCGGUAACACCAGAAUCUCUAGGGUGGGCAGGUGUAGGGAAUACAAAUCCAGUCUCCUUUGGGGCCAGUCCUGGAGACAGGCUACGUUAUGGUUUAAAAAAA